AUACGGAGGAUCCGAGCGUUAUCCGGAUUUAUUGGGUUUAAAGGGUGCGCAGGCGGCCAUUUAAGUCAGCGGUUAAAUCGUGGGGCUCAACCCCAUUCUGCCGUUGAUACUGGGUGGCUUGAUUGCGGUCGAGGUUGGCGGAAUUCGUUGUGUAGCGGUGAAAUGCAUAGAUAUGACGAAGAACACCGAUUGCGUAGGCAGCUGACCAGACCGCAAAUGACGCUCAUGCACGAAAGUGCGGGGAUCGAACAGGAUUAGAUACCCUGGUAGUCCGCACAGUAAACGAUGAUAACUCGCUGUCGGCGAUACAUAGUCGGUGGCCAAGCGAAAGCGAUAAGUUAUCCACCUGGGGAGUACGACCGCAAGGUUGAAACUUAAAGGAAUUGACGGGG
rnacentral:rRNA from 1 species